CAUGGCUGAAAUUGUAUAAACGAGGAAUAGUAAGUUACAAAAUCUUGGUUGAUGAUACAGAAGUGCUUACAGAACAUAGGCCCUCCAAAGACCCUUUCACUCCAGUUAUCAAAGUAAUUUUGUCCUCAGUUUAAUGGCAGGUGAAACAAUAUUGAACAAAGCAUCCUCUGCUGUAUCUGAAGUCCUCUAGUUAGUGUUCAUAGUAGUAAAUGCUCUAGUAAAGGGACAGCUUCCAUUCCAAUCCCAGGUUUUCAAUCACUUUGGUUCUUUUUUUGAGACAGAGUCUCGCUGUGUUGCCCAGGCUGGAGUGCAGUGGUGUGAUCUCAGCUUACUGCAACCUCCACCUCCUGGGUUCAAGUGAUUCUCAUGCCUCAGCCACCUGAGUAGCUGGGACUACAGGAACAUGCCACCACACCUGGCUAAUUUUUAUGUUUUUUUUUUUUUUUUUUUUUUUUUUUUUUUUUAAAGAGCCAGGAUUUCACCAUUUUGGCCAGACUGGUGUCGAACUUCUGACCUCAAGUGAUUCCCCUGCCUUGGCCUCCCAAAGUGCUGGCACUACAGGCAUGAACCACCCGGCCCACUUUGGUUCCUAAAGUUUUCUUUCAGAUAAAGUUUUUAAUACAUAGUUUCUGCCCAAAGGUUUUGUUUGUGUGGAUUGAUUAUUGGAUAUGAGAGGAAGGGACUAUCAACAGGGGGAUAUGAGAGGAAGGGACUAUCAACAGGGUCCCUGAGACUGUGCUUAGAAAGAGAGGGCUGCUGCAAGGAGAGGCUAUGUUACUACCUGUGAAAUAAUCUGUGAAUAUGGGACAACAAUGACAACUGACAUUGAUGUGGAACUCACUGCACGUCCCAAACUGGGCUAAGUACUUUAUAUCCAUUGGCUCAUUUAAUGCCCCAACAACUAUGAGGUAGGUGUUAUUACCCUGAUGCUAAUAUUAAAGAACAAGAAAUAAAUAACUUGUCCAAAACCUCACAGCUAGUAAAUGGCAGAACUGGGACCUGAACUCAAAACUCUGUAACUCCAGAACCUACAAGUUUGUCGUUAAAUGCACUUGACAUUUAGGAGUGGGAACAAAUCCAAGAACUAGUCAUGGGUGUCAUUUACUCUGAUCCUUUUUUUCAGACAGGAAACUGGGGGUUCAGAGUAGUUGAUUGGAAUCUUCUGUUAGAAUUCUGAGUGUCUGAGGCCUGCUCCUUUGGCCGAGCCCUACCACACCAAGUGAUACAGAUCCUUCAGAAUUCUCCUGGGCAUGUUCUGGCUGGAGAAAGAGAUUAUCUUUUUGCUCACGGACUUUUUCCUUGCUUAAUCCUACUCAUACCUUUGUUUCACUAGCAUUGUAGACAAAAUCAUUAAAACAAGAAAGCCAGAUUUCCUUAGAAUGGGCUUGUGCAUUUAAAAUUAGACCGAUGUUGCACAAUCCUAUGAAUAUAUUUAAAAAAACACUGAAUUGCUUAAAUAUACAAAUAUGUACAACUAUUACAAAAAAGUAUGGUAUAUGAAUUAUAUCUCAACAAGGAUGCUCAAAAAAAAACCCCAGAAUGUAUGACUUAAAAAACAUUUCUAUUGUUUUUGAAUGGCUUCCAGAAGGGCUCCUUGUACAUCAGGUGCCUGGGGUGACCUCCUUGCCCAUUCAUUUCUUAUUCAGUCCACAUUAACGGAGUCCACCCUUGGGCCAGGCACAGGGAUAGCAGGGGUAGGGACCGAGCUCCCUGAGGAUGAAAGACAGGUACAGAGGAAUGAAUGCUUGUACCUGAAGAAGCACUGAUUUUUUGGGUUGCGGCUUCCAGUGACUAUUGCAAAUUCGAGUACUAAAAAAGUUGAUGUGAUUUCACUAUUUGGAAAAUGUAGUGUUUUUGUUUCUUUUAAUAAGUUACACUGAGUCACAGACCUGGUCUCAAAGCUUCAAUUACAGUAACCGUUUACCCCUUUCAAGUGAGUUUUUGCAUACUAACAGAUAAGUGAAACAGAAUUACAAAAUAAAGUUAAUGCUGAAAACAA
rnacentral:lncRNA from 1 species